UACAGAGGUCUCAAGCGUUGUUCGGAUUCAUUGGGCGUAAAGGGUGCGUAGGUGGCGCCGUAAGUCAGGUGUGAAAUUUCGGAGCUUAACUCCGAAACUGCAUUUGAUACUGCGGUGCUUGAGGACUGGAGAGGAGACUGGAAUUACGGUGUAGCGUGAAAUGCGUAGAGAUCGUGAAGGAAGACCAGUGGCGAAGGCGGGUCUCUGGACAGUUCCUGACAGCUGAGGCACGAAGGUCAGGGGAGCAAACAGGG
rnacentral:rRNA from 1 species